AGAGGCAUAGCUCAGUGACAGAGCAUCUGCUUUGCAUGCAGAAGUUCCCAGAUUCAAUCCCUGACAUUUCUA